ACGCCUGUGACUCUGAGCUGUACGACUCAGUUUCCCUGUGAUGUGUGCCUGCUUCCUCUACUGAACCUGAUGCCGCUCCCAUACUACGCCUGUGCCUCUGAGCUGUACGACUCAGUUUCCCUGUGCUGUGUGCCUGCUUCCUCUACUGAACCUGAUGCCGCUCCCAUACUACGCCUGUGCCUCUGAGCUGUACGACUCAGUUUCCCUGUGCUGUGUGCCUGCUUCCUCUACUGAACCUGAUGCCACUCCCAUACUACGCCUGUGACUCUGAGCUGUACGACUCAGUUUCCCUGUGCUGUGUGCCUGCUUCUGAGAGGGUGUUGGUGCCUGUGGUUGUUGUGCCUAUGGAAGGCAGGGUCCUGGUCCUUUGUUCCAUCAUUCACACGUGAGAGAGACCAGACACCCAGAGGCCCAUCCACGCAGUAAACUUCCUCCCCACGCUCCUACAUGUUCUCCUCCAUCUGCCUCCUGUCCAUUGAUCUGCCUACCCAAGCAUCAGUCUGUUUAACAUCUGCUACAAGUUCCGCCAUCUCAGGUAACUAUCUAGCUGCUCUCCACAGUUUAUUGAUCUUCUUGUCCACCUGCAGUAACAUCUGUUUCAGUGUGUCUUUUGUCAAAUAAAUCAACUGCCUUGUUCACUUUCACUAACACACACUAACUUGUUUAGCUCAUUCAAUACUCAUAAGCCAAUCAAUAUCGUAGGCUAUAUCUAAACAAUUGAGGGGAAUCAAUUAUCAUGAUUUGAUAUAAUUGUAUUUUAAGCUAAUAAUAAUUACAAGAGAGAAAUUGUGUUGGUAUAUUUUUCUCCAAUAUUACAACUAACCAUAACAUUUAUUUUCUGAAAUUAAAAUUAUUUUUUGAUUAAACAAUUACUUUUAAUAACGCUUGCACCACGCAAUUGCAAAGGCCAAAGUUUGUGGUUUUGAGUUGAUUACUGAA
rnacentral:lncRNA from 1 species